UACAGAGGUCUCAAGCGUUGUUCGGAUUCAUUGGGCGUAAAGGGUGCGUAGGUGGCGCGCUAAGUCAGGUGUGAAAUUUCGGAGCUUAACUCCGAAACUGCAUUUGAUACUGGCGUGCUUGAGGACUGGAGAGGAGACUGGAAUUCAUGGUGUAGCAGUGAAAUGCGUAGAGAUCAUGAGGAAGACCAGUGGCGAAGGCGGGUCUCUGGACAGUUCCUGACACCGAGGCACGAAAGCUAGGGGAGCAAACAGG
rnacentral:rRNA from 1 species